GUGAGGAAUAUUGGUCAAUGGACGAGAGUCUGAACCAGCCAAGUCGCGUGAAGGAAGACGGUUCUAUGAAUUGUAAACUUCUUUUGUGCAGGAAUAAAGUGGGUUACGUGUAACCUUUUGUAUGUACUGUACGAAUAAGGAUCGGCUAACUCCGUGCCAGCAGCCGCGGUAAUAUGGAGGAUCCGAGCGUUAUCCGGAUUCAUUGGGUUUAAAGGGUGCGUCGGUGGAUUGAUAAGUCAGCGGUGAAAGUUUGCAGCUUAACUGUAAAAUUGCCGUUGAAGCUGUCGGUCUUGAGGUCAAAUGAGGUAGGCGUAAUGUGUUGUGUAGCGGUGAAAUGCUUAGAUAUAACACAGAACUCCGAUUGCGAAGGCAGCUUACUGGGAUGCAACUGACACUGAUGCACGAAAGUGUGGGUAUCAAACAGGAUUAGAAACCCGGGUAGUCC
rnacentral:rRNA from 1 species